rnacentral:rRNA from 1 species
GACGAACGCUGGCGGCGUGCCUAAUACAUGCAAGUCGAACGCAGUGGGGACGGGUGAGUAACACGUGGGUAACCUCCCAUCAGAGGGGAUAACACUUGGAAACUGGUGCUAAACCGAUACUGAUGGAUGGACCCGCGGUGCUUUAGCUAGUUGGUGAGGUAACGGCUCACCAAGGCCAAGAUGCAUAGCCGACGUGAGAGGAGGAUCGGCCAGACUGGGACGGAGACACGGCCCAGACUCCUACGGGAGGAAGCAGUAGGGAAUCUGCGGCAAGGGACGAAAGUCUGACCGAGCAACGCCGAGUGAGUGAAGAAGGUUUUCGGAUCGUAAAGCUCUGUUGUUAGAGAAGCGGUAUCUAACCAGGAAGCGACGGCUAACUACGUGCCAGCAGCCGCGGUAAUAC